UGUUCUGUAGCUUAGUUGGUUAAAGCGCCGGACUAGCAAUAACGGAGUCGUGGGUUCGAAUCCCAUUAAAACAA
rnacentral:tRNA from 1 species